rnacentral:rRNA from 1 species
UACGAAGGGGGCUAGCGUUGUUCGGAAUCACUGGGCGUAAAGCGCACGUAGGCGGAUAUGUAAGUCAGAGGUGAAAGCCCAGGGCCUAACCUUGGAACUGCCUUUGAAACUACAUAUCUAGAGACUCGGAGGGGAUAGCGGAAUUCCAAAUGUAGGGGUGAAAUCCGUAGAUAUUUGGAGGAACACCGGUGGCGAAGGCGGCUAUCUGGACGAGUACUGACGCUGAGGUGAGAAAGCGUGGGGAGCAAACAGG